rnacentral:rRNA from 1 species
CCCUUAGAUGUUCUGGGCAGCACGCGCGCUACAAUGGUCUUCGCAAACGGAUGCAUUCUCGAAGGAGAAUGCCAAUCUUGGAAUCUAUGCCUUGGUCGGGACAGUUGCUUGCAAUUUUUCGACUCGAACCAGGAAUUCCUUGUAAUCGUGAUUCAUCACAUCACGAUGAAUACGUCCCUGCCCUUUGUACACACCGCCCGUCGCUCCUACCGAUUGGAUGUUCCGGUGAGGAUUCAGGACUUGAGAUUCAUUUCUGCUGCGGUUCUGCUGUAGUGGAAACUCUCGGGGAAUUUAUUCAAAUCUUAACAUUUAGAGGAAGGAGAAGUCGUAACA